GAAAUAGAUUGGAUGAGAAGAGAAGAGAAUAUUCAGAGAUGAGAGGAAAGUAUUAUUGUUUAUUGAUUCUUGGAAUAGCAUAUUCUAAUAUAGAUAUACAGUAUUUAUACAGUCCUGACCACUAUAAUUACUUUUGACUUUCUCUUAAAAAGCUGUAACAUCUUUACAAUUACUCAACUAUCACACACCGCCCUCACUAUUUUACUCCUUCCAC
rnacentral:misc_RNA from 1 species